UGCCUUCUCCUCAGUUGGUAACGUACGAGACUCUUAAUCUCAGGGCUGUGGGUUUGAGCCCCACGCUGAGCAA